rnacentral:rRNA from 2 species
AGAGUUUGAUCCUGGCUCAGGAUGAACGCUGGCGGCGUGCCUAAUACAUGCAAGUCGAACGCUGGAAAUCUAGCUUGCUAGAUUGAAGGAGUGGCGAACGGGUGAGUAAUACAUAAGCAACCUACCCACGAAGACUGGGAUAAUCUCUGGAAACGGGGACUAAUACCGGAUAGGUAAUCGGAAGGCAUCUUCUGAUUAUUAAAGGUUAAAAACACUGGUGGAUGGGCUUAUGGCGCAUUAGUUAGUUGGUGAGGUAACGGCCCACCAAGACGAUGAUGCGUAGCCGGCCUGAGAGGGUGAACGGCCACAUUGGGACUGAGACACGGCCCAGACUCCUACGGGAGGCAGCAGUAGGGAAUUUUCGGCAAUGGGGGAAACCCUGACCGAGCAACGCCGCGUGAGUGAUGACGGCCUUCGGGUUGUAAAGCUCUGUUGUAAGGGAAGAACGGUAGAUAGAGAAUAUCUAAAUGACGGUACCUUACCAGAAAGCCACGGCUAACUACGUGCCAGCAGCCGCGGUAAUACGUAGGUGGCGAGCGUUAUCCGGAAUUAUUGGGCGUAAAGGGUGCGUAGGCGGCCUGUUAAGUAAGUGGUUAAAUUGUUGGGCUCAACCCAAUCCAGCCACUUAAACUGGCAGGCUAGAGUAUUGGAGAGGCAAGUGGAAUUCCAUGUGUAGCGGUAAAAUGCGUAGAUAUAUGGAGGAACACCAGUGGCGAAGGCGGCUUGCUAGCCAAAGACUGACGCUCAUGCACGAAAGCGUGGGGAGCAAAUAGGAUUAGAUACCCUAGUAGUCCACGCCGUAAACGAUGAAUACUAAGUAUUGGGGAAACUCAGUGCUGCAGCUAACGCAAUAAGUAUUCCGCCUGUGGAGUAUGCACGCAAGUGUGAAACAUAAAGGAAUUGACGGGGGCCCGCACAAGCGGUGGAGUAUGUGGUUUAAUUCGAC